rnacentral:misc_RNA from 1 species
AAGUCGUAACAAGGUUUCCGUAGGUGAACCUGCGGAAGGAUCAUUACCGAGACAGGGUCCUUCGGGGCCCGACCUCCAACCCAAUGUCUACCAUACCUCUGUUGCCUCGGCGGACCGCCGGCGUCUUUCAUUAGGCGCCGCCGUCGGCUCCCUCACGGGGGCUUUCGAGCGUCCGCCGCAGGGAUAUACAAACUCUUUUUGUAAACAAGUAAUCUGAGUGGGAUUUAAUAGCUUCAAAACUUUUAACAACGGAUCUCUUGGUUCUG